rnacentral:rRNA from 1 species
AGUGAACGCUGGCGGUAGGCCUAACACAUGCAAGUCGAACGGCAGCACAGUAAGAGCUUGCUCUUACGGGUGGCGAGUGGCGGACGGGUGAGGAAUACAUCGGAAUCUACUUUUUCGUGGGGGAUAACGUAGGGAAACUUACGCUAAUACCGCAUACGACCUACGGGUGAAAGCAGGGGAUCUUCGGACCUUGCGCGAUUGAAUGAGCCGAUGUCGGAUUAGCUAGUUGGCGGGGUAAAGGCCCACCAAGGCGACGAUCCGUAGCUGGUCUGAGAGGAUGGUCGGCCAAGCAGGAACUGAGACACGGUCCGGCCUCCUACGGAAGGCACCGUUGGGGAAUAUUGAACAUUGGGCGCAAGCCUGAUCCACCCAUACCGCGUGGUUGAAGAAGGCCUUCGGUUUGUAAAGCCCUUUUGUUGGGAAGAAAAAGCGCCGGGUAAAAACCCCCUGUUCUGACGGUACCCAAAGAAUAAGCACCGGCUAACUUCGUG